rnacentral:rRNA from 1 species
GGCGGCAGGCUUAACACAUGCAAGUCGAGCGGAAACGAUGAUAGCUUGCUAUCAGGCGUCGAGCGGCGGACGGGUGAGUAAUACUUAGGAAUCUACCUAGUAGUGGGGGAUAGCUCGGGGAAACUCGAAUUAAUACCGCAUACGUCCUACGGGAGAAAGCAGGGGAUCAUUAGACCUUGCGCUAUUAGAUGAGCCUAAGUCGGAUUAGCUAGAUGGUGGGGUAAAGGCCUACCAUGGCGACGAUCUGUAGCUGGUCUGAGAGGAUGAUCAGCCACACCGGGACUGAGGCACGGCCCGGACUCCUACGGGAGGCAGCUGUGGGGAAUAUUGGACAAUGGGGGGAACCCUGAUCCAGCCAUGCCGCGUGUGUGAAGAAGGCCUUUUGGUUGUAAAGCACUUUAAGCAGUGAAGAAGACUCUUCGGUUAAUACCCGGGGACGAUGACAUUAGCUGCAGAAUAAGCACCGGCUAACUCUGUGCCAGCAGCCGCGGUAAUACAGAGGGUGCAAGCGUUAAUCGGAAUUACUGGGCGUAAAGCGAGCGUAGGUGGCUUGAUAAGUCAGAUGUGAAAUCCCCGGGCUUAACCUGGGAACUGCAUCUGAAACUGUUAGGCUAGAGUAGGUGAGAGGGAAGUAGAAUUUCAGGUGUAGCGGUGAAAUGCGUAGAGAUCUGAAGGAAUACCGAUGGCGAAGGCAGCUUCCUGGCAUCAUACUGACACUGAGGCUCGAAAGCGUGGGUAGCAAACAGGAUUAGAUACCCUGGUAGUCCACGCCGUAAACGAUGUCUACUAGUCGUUGGGUCCCUUGAGGACUUAGUGACGCAGCUAACGCAAUAAGUAGACCGCCUGGGGAGUACGGCCGCAAGGUUAAAACUCAAAUGAAUUGACGGGGGCCCGCACAAGCGGUGGAGCAUGUGGUUUAAUUCGAUGCAACGCGAAGAACCUUACCUGGUCUUGACAUAC